ensembl:snRNA U4 U4 spliceosomal RNA
AGCUUUGUACAGUGGCAGUAUCAUAGCCAAUGAGGUUUAUCUGAGGUGCGAUUAUUGCUAAUUAAAAGAAUAAUAAUGAGCCAAGCUCUGUGGCACACACCUGUCAUUAUAACUAGUUGGGAGGCUGAGGCAGGAAGAUCACAAAUUCAAGGCAACCUAGCAACAUUUUUAAAAAAA